GACGAACGCUGGCGGCGUGCUUAACACAUGCAAGUCGAACGGAAAGGCCCUGCUUUUGUGGGGUGCUCGAGUGGCGAACGGGUGAGUAACACGUGAGUAACCUGCCCUUGACUUUGGGAUAACUUCAGGAAACUGGGGCUAAUACCGGAUAGGAGCUCCUGCUGCAUGGUGGGGGUUGGAAAGUUUCGGCGGUUGGGGAUGGACUCGCGGCUUAUCAGCUUGUUGGUGGGGUAGUGGCUUACCAAGGCUUUGACGGGUAGCCGGCCUGAGAGGGUGACCGGCCACAUUGGGACUGAGAUACGGCCCAGGCUCCUACGGGGGGCAGCAGUGGGGAAUAUUGCAAAAUGGGCGGAAGCCUGAUGCAGCAACGCCGCGUGCGGGAUGACGGCCUUCGGGUUGUAAACCGCUUUCGCCUGUGACGAAGCGUGAGUGACGGUAAUGGGUAAAGAAGCACCGGCUAACUACGUG
rnacentral:rRNA from 1 species